CGAUCAUAGCUGCAAUUCUACGCGUUGGAGAACGUAGUCUUUCCCCCCGUUCAUUGUUAACUAUGGAAAAGCACAAAGACUCGAAUUCCCAGUGUGCAUUGUUGGGCCGCGUCGUUGCUUGGAUUCUGAGGGAAUGUUUGAACGGUCGGUCAGGUGUCCCAGAAUGCCUGUGGUGGAGGGUGGGCAUGGUGCCACGCCCCUGGACCCGUCCGUGAGCCCCGCCCUCUCCGCUCAGCAGACCGAUGGGCGCCUCCUGGCUUCUGUCACUCACCUGUCCACAGGGGGCGUGACGGGCAGCUCUUCCGGACACCGUCCCGCCCGUGAGCGGGAGGGAGGGAGGAGAGAUGGAGGGAUGGACGGAGCUGAGGACAGAGGCAGGAGGAUGGGAGAGUUGGACUACCUUGAUCUGACAGACUUCUGCCGACACCAGAAUGACCUUGCAGAAGGUGUUGCCCUCCCUGGGGAGGUGGCAGAAGACCCCCCUGCGUACACGCCCUCCAUCUGCCGACGCACCGAGCUGGACCUCCGCACGAGGCCUGUCCUCGAGCCCCGCACACAGUCACCACGCCCCGCUGUCCAGGUGAGGGAGCGGAGUGAGUCAGUCAGUGAGCAGUGUGCAUGAAGCCUCCUACCACACACCAUCAGCACCCUGGCAGCCAAGUGCUCUGCCUCAUUCUUCUUGUCCUGUGAUUACGGAACCCGACAAGGUCCUCCCGUUCAGCUUGGACGCCGGCUUCGAUUACGAUCACGUGGCGCUGUCCCGAAAACACCCGGUGCCGUGACCCGACCCGACCCGACCCGAC